UACGAAGGGUGCAAGCGUUACUCGGAAUUACUGGGCGUAAAGCGUGCGUAGGUGGUUCGUUAAGUCUUAUGUGAAAGCCCCGGGCUCAACCUGGGAACUGCAUUGGAUACUGGCGAUCUGGAGUGCGGUAGAGGGUGGCGGAAUUCCCGGUGUAGCAGUGAAAUGCGUAGAUAUCGGGAGGAACAUCCGUGGCGAAGGCGGCCACCUGGACCAGCACUGACACUGAGGCACGAAAGCGUGGGGAGCAAACAGG
rnacentral:rRNA from 1 species